UUCAAAACGCGUAAGAAUAGAAAGACUGCCAUGGUUAGGGAUCUAUACAAAUCUAGCCACCUUGACUGUUCGCUAUACAUCUAUUUACCAAAUCCCUUCUUUCUUCCUUUCAAUUCGUCCCCGCUGUGCGGAAAGCCGCCAAAAUGUCGGGUGGACUAGCUGUUAUGAGCCUUGAAGAAAAUGAUGUAAACAAGGUUUCUUGCUGCAUUAACGCACAUUGGCUGGCAAACAAUGUAAACUUCCAGAUGGAACAGUACAUCUUCAAGAGGCGUCAAGAUGGUGUACACAUUAUUCAUCUAAGGAAAACUUACGAGAAGAUUCUCCUUGCUGCUCGUAGUAUUGCAGCCAUGAGAACCCAGCUGAUGUGUAUGUCAUUUCAUCACGUCCAUGGGUCAGCGUGCUGUGUUGAAAUUCGCACGCUACACCGGAGCUACUCCUAUUGCUGGACGUUACACUCCUGGUGCUUUCACCAAUCAGAUUCAGG